GCCGACUUAGCUCAGUAGGUAGAGCAACUGACUUGUAAUCAGUAGGUCAGCAGUUCGAUUCCGGUAGUCGACACCA
rnacentral:tRNA from 1 species